rnacentral:tRNA from 1 species
AAUUAUAUAGUUUAAAGUAAAAUAUUAAAUUGCAAAUUUAAUGAUAUAAUUUUAUUAUAAUUU